rnacentral:lncRNA from 1 species
AACCUUAAACUUACUGAUUAUUUGUUGUGCGUUACUAAUCUGACCGGCCAUCGAUCUCCACCUUAACCUUAUUUAUCUUUCUUAUUAGCUCCACGUCUCUAGCGUCUAUAGAGUCCUAACCCAAGAAUAUCUCCUGCCGCCUUCAGUCCAAACCCUCGGCAAGAGUCUCCCCUGCAUCCUCCUCUUCUCCUUGCCGCCUAUGUCUCCUUCUUUUGCUCCUCGGGUCGCUAUUGUGACGCGUCCGUCGUCUUUUUCAUGAGGAGCUAGAUGAUUUCAGUCUGAGAUUACAUCCUCCUAUAGAGAAUCCUACCCUUUCCAUGCUGUCACUGUAGCCAGGUCUAGCAAAGGGGAUAAAUUUAUGUUGCAAAUGAGAUGCUAAAGUUUAUAUGCAGAGGUGUGCAACUCUGUAUCCAUCAACAUCCAUACUUCAGGGUGGAGUAGAGGAAGGGAGCAUUUACCAGAGAUGUGUUUUUAGCAGCAUUAUUUUUAGAUAAAAUAAUUAUACCUGCUUUUAUCUGUAAGCUGCACACAGGGCAGAGGAUGCAAUUUGGUUUAGAAGAAGAAGAAAACACAUUGACACUAUGGCUUAUAAUUCUUAUGAUAGUAUCAGAAAAUAUAUGCAAUAUGAUUUAGGUAACAAAAACACAGCAUUAUGUCUUCGUUGGAAAAUUUGCCACUCCGGAGACAUAGACAGAAUUAUCACUUUCAUCUUAUUAAUGGUAUUUUCUUAAAGUAAGAAGAUAAAGAAGAGAUGGGUUUAUAUGAAGCAGGCCUGCCGCAAGAGUCAAAAGAUGAUGUCUCAGUAUUUCACAUUUAAAGCAAGGACAAGUGCUCAUAAAUGAUUAUAUGUAUCUACUUUAUUAAACUAGCAUAUUAACUAAUCACCCGAAUCCAUGUACUCUAUAUUCUUACUGAUUGCAUGACGUUCUUUUGCUUCUUGAUAAAUAUGUCCAUUUUCAUUAUUAUUUCAUAAUAUCUGCUAUGUACAGUGGCAUCAUUGAGCAUUCCUUUACUUUUCACAUUUCAGUUCAAUGUUCUGCACAGUGCACAGUAUAACGCUACAUUGGAUGGCGCUAUUAAAUACUUCGAGGUCAUGUGACAGAGCACGAAAAAAGAACUAUUGAGGUAUGUUUUAUGCUCAUACUACGAUUUUGAGAUUCAGAUGCAGUUUUAUUUAGAACACAUUUUUAUCAUAAUAUUCAAUUCCAAUGCAUUUGGAAUGGGUCAAGUCAAUUGUAAGAGUUGAAUUAGCUACUUCGCCUUUGAGUCCUUUGUUGUUUAGUUGUAAUUUUUUAUUCAAUAAAUUCCUAAAUGCACCAUUUCUUAUGAGCAGGUUUUUUUUAAAUCAAAAUCACAAUGUUAUAUAUAUGUUUCGUGCCUCUCACGUCAAUUCUAAGA